AACAGGCGACGGAACGGCGUGCCGCUAGGGGCCCCUGCCCGAAGCAAGGACCCACCUCUAUGCACCCUGGGAAAUGUAGUUUUUCGCUGGACCGGAAGGCGGCUCUUGCGGAGGGAGGCUCAGAGCACGUGGUUUGGGAUCCGGUGGCGCCCCAACCUAUUCCCGGCUUACGGCACAAGACCGUUUGGCUCCGUUAAAUCGCCUAGGAGUGCAGCUCCUGCGAAGAUGUGAUUCUUGGGGCCUGUAGAUGGAGUUGGAAGUCAGAACUGAAGAAUAGAGGGACAGGGUCAAGUUCGGUUACUGCUCACUCCAAGGACAUAGUCGGGUCCAGGGAACUGUGUGUGUUCGUGAACCGUCAGCACCCGCUAGAGAAGAGAAAAGAUGGGAGUUACUUGGUGUCUGGGGGUGGGGGUGGGGAGGAAGCCUUGCGGAUCAGCUUGUGAGCAACCAGGAAAUCACAUCAAUGUGUGUGUGUGUGUAUCUAUGUAAAGGGGACGGGAAGGUUUUCAUUAUAUUUCAUGUGAGUAAGAGUAGCUCAUGGCUUUACCUUAAGUUCUGUUCUUUUUAAAUUUCAAGACAGGGUUUCCCUGUGUAGCCCUGGAUGUCUUGGACUCUUUGUAGAUCAGGCUGGCCUCGAACUCACAGAGAACCGCCUGCCUCUGCCUUUUGAGUGCUGGGGCUGAAGGUGUGCACCACUAUGCCCAGCCUAAAACAUUUAUUUUUUAAAGCUAAACUAUUUUAAACUCGAUUUAGGCUUACUCUAUGGCUUCUCUCUCCUUACUGAUUAUAAACUUUGCCCAGCACAGAGUCUUCUAGCAGUAGAACAGUUAGAGAAGUAUGAGACGGACUGGUGUACUACCAUCAGGAGGAUCAGAAAUUUUGUAAACCUGGGGAGGAUGCAGAUUAAGACAAAGGCUGAAGACACCAUGCAAGGUUUUAAAUGUACACCACCGUGCCAGGCUAUGCUUGUAUUUUAAAGGAGGAAGCCGGCUCUAGAAUUAGCUGCUGAGGCCAGAGGAGAUCGAUGACUGCCCCCCAAGGGAAAAGAAACUUGUUAAGGACUCAUUCACCGCACCAUCCCCUCUUCCUGUUAAGACGGUCAAUUGCAGGAUUGGAGAAUCAGUGAAGGAGCCAAUGACCACCUUCAGAAGCAAACUGUCUCGGCUUACUUCUCUGUUGCUAUGAAAGCACCGUGGCCAACACAUUCUGUUAUGAUAAUACCAUGGGUUACAUGUCCAUCAUUGAGGGAAGUCAAGGCCGGAGCAGAAGCAGAAACAGAAACCUAGAGGCAGAAGCUGAAGAAGAAACCACAGAGGAACACUGCUUCCUGGCUUACUUCCCAAAAUGUGCUCAGCUUGCUGACGCAACCCAGGACUACUUGCCAUCCACAACAGUCAUUAAUCAAGAAAGUGUCUCAAAGACAUGCCCACAGGAUAAUGUAGAGGCAAUUUCUCAACUGAGAGUCUCCCCAUUUAUCUAGGUAAACCUAGAGUCAAAUUGACAAGCUACCAAGCAGCAUACACACUUUAACCAAACCCACUGGGAACCUCUUAGUGGGCCCUCAGGACAAAAUCCAAGCUCUAUGGUAUAGCACUUAAAGCCUUGUAUGACAUAUCCGGCCCUCAUCUUAAUCUGUUUACUAAAUUUCUGAUCCUUCUGAUGGGAUGGCAGCCUGUCUCAUACUUCCCUAACCGGGCUACUGCUAGAAGGUGCUGUGUUGGGGAAAGUUUAACCGUAAGGAGAGAGAGAGGCUAUAUAGUAAGCCCAGAUUGAGUUUAAUAUAGUUUAGCUUAAAAAAAAAAAAAAAGUUCUAGGGUGGGCAUGGUGGUGCACACUUUAAUCCCAGCACUUAGGGGACAGAGGCAGGUGAAUCCUAAAUUCAAGGCCAGCCUGGUCUACACAGUGGAGUUCCAGGACAGCAGGGGCUAUGUAGAGAAGUCCUGUCUCAAAAAACAAAAAUGAGUAAAAAUAAAACAAGAUUUUAUAGUGUAUGUUAGUUAUAUAUAAUGGUUUCAUUGUGACAUUUUCAUAUAUUCAUAAUGUUAUAAUGUAUUUUAAUAAUAUUCAUCUUUCUUGUU